CACAACUUUUGCUAAAAAGUCCAGUUUUAUUACAUUUCAAAAUUUCAGUCAUCUUUAACUGAGGCAUUCAGUAAUGUACAUGGUGUAUCUUACCACCUCUACCAUCAUUUUUUCUCAGAAACACAAUGAAAUUGGUUAUCAAAAUUUUUCAUCUUGCUUCCUAAAUAUAUCUGGAGAAUCAAAUGGUUUUGAUAAAAAUUUUGUGAGCCCACCAGAGGUGGAGAUAAGAGGUCAACUUUUAAAUCUCCAACAUAAAUGUGUGUUGAUUUGGGCAUAAUUGGGCAGAACUAUGAAAAAUAAACAAUUUUUGAAAGUUUUUAACUUCACCUACAGAUUGAGAUAGCACAAGAAAAGAUGCUACCACAUAUACCACCAAUUUGGUAUUCAAGCAAUAAGAAGAAGAAUCUGACAGAAGGCAUCUGUUUAUCCUGUGAAACAAUAUUGAAGCAGCAAAGAGCAGUAU
rnacentral:lncRNA from 1 species